AAAUAUGUUGUGUACAUCUUGUCUCUGAAAUCUGUGUUCUAAAUAGAGAGAAAGGAAAAGAGACAAGAUGAAAAAAAAGAGAAAAUUCAGAAAAAUACAAAAAUAAAAAAAAAUUGUGAAUAAUGGAGUCAAGAAGAGGAUUGAAUUAGAGGUUUGGGUGUGUUUGAAUGUGUUACACUUGUUCCCCAUUGCUCCUCUAUUCCUUUUGGUUUGUAGCUUCUCAUCCAUAUUUAUCCUCCCUUGUCCUUGGC
rnacentral:lncRNA from 1 species